GACGAACGCUGGCGGCGUGCUUAACACAUGCAAGUCGAACGGUGAAGCUCCAGCUUGCUGGAGUGGAUCAGUGGCGAACGGGUGAGUAACACGUGAGCAACCUGCCCCUGACUCUGGAAUAAGCGCUGGAAACGGCGUCUAAUACUGGAUACGAGAAGGGUCCGCAUGGGCACUUUCUGGAAAGUUGUUCGGUUGGGGAUGGGCUCGCGGCCUAUCAGCUUGUUGGUGAGGUAAUGGCUCACCAAGGCGACGACGGGUAGCCGGCCUGAGAGGGCGACCGGCCACACUGGGACUGAGACACGGCCCAGACUCCGACGGGAGGCAGCAGUGGGGAAUAUUGCACAAUGGGCGAAAGCCUGAUGCAGCGACGCCGCGUGAGGGAUGACGGCCUUCGGGUUGUAAACCUCUUUCAGCAGGGAAGAAGCGAAAGUGACGGUACCUGCAGAAGAAGCACCGGCUAACUACGUG
rnacentral:rRNA from 1 species